UUUCGCAAUGCCCGAAAGGGUGACGAAGCGACGCCGCGUGGGUGAGGAAGGCCUUCGGGUUGUAGAGCCCUGUCAGGAGUUAUGAAAUGUAAGUGCGCUAAUAUCGUGCUUAUUUGACAAAGGCUCCAAAGGAAGCCACGGCUAACUCUGUGCCAGCAGCCGCGGUAAUACAGAGGUGGCGAGCGUUGUUCGGAAUUAUUGGGCGUAAAGAGCACGUAGGUGGGUUUGCAAGUCAGAUGUGAAAGCCUUCUGUUCAACGGAAGAAUUGCAUCUGAAACUGCUAAUCUUGAGUAUAGGAGGGGAGAAUGGAACUUCUGGUGGAGCGGUGAAAUGCGUAGAUAUCAGAAGGAACGCCGGCGGCGAAAGCGAUUCUCUGGCCUAUUACUGACACCCAGUGUGCGAAAGCUAGGGGAGCAAACGGGAUUAGAUACCCCGGUAGUCCUAGCCGUAAACGAUGGGCACUAAGUAGAGGGGUUUUA
rnacentral:rRNA from 1 species